AUUGAACGCUGGCGGCAGGCCUAACACAUGCAAGUCGAACGAGUGGCGGACGGGUGAGUAAUGUCUGGUAAACUGCCUGAUGGUGGGGGAUAACUACUGGAAACUGUAGCUAAUACCGCAUACCAUCAGAUUUGCCCAGAUGGGAUUAGCUUGUUGGUGGGGUAACGGCUCACCAAGGCGACGAUCCCUAGCUUGUCUGAGAGGAUGACCAGCCACCCUGGACAUGAGACACGGUCCAGACUCCUACGGGAGGCAGGAGUGGGGAAUAUUGAACAAUGGGCGCGAUCCUGAUGCAGCCAUGCCGCGGGUAUGAAGAAGGCCUUCGGGUUGUAAAGUACUUUCAGCGGGGAGGAGUUACCCGCAGAAGAAGCACCGGCUAACUCCGUGCCAGCAGACGCGGUAAUAC
rnacentral:rRNA from 1 species